rnacentral:rRNA from 1 species
CCUACGGGUGGCAGCAGUCGGGAAUAUUGCGCAAUGGAGGAAACUCUGACGCAGUGACGCCGCGUAUAGGAAGAAGGUUCUCGGAUUGUUAACCAUUGUCGUUAGGGAAGCUAAAAGACUGUACCUUAGGAGGAAGCGCCGGCUAACUAAGGGCUAGCAGCCGCGGGAAUACAUAGGGGGCAAGCGUUAUCCGGAAUUAUUGGGUGUAAAGGGUGCGUAGACGGUAUAACAAGUUGGUUGUGAAAUCCCUCGGCUCAACUCAGGGACCGCAACCCAAACUAUUCGCCUUGAGUGUAGGAGAGGAAAGUGGAAUUCCUGGUGUAGCGGUGAAAUGCGUAGAUAUUGGGAGGAACACCAGUGGCGAAGGCGACUUUCUGGACGAUAACUGACGUUGAGGCACGAAAGUGUGGGGAGCGAACAGGAUUAGAUACCCUUGUAGUC